rnacentral:lncRNA from 1 species
GGACGCCUAAAUUAUGAACCAUUUUAACCAGUGCGUUUCUCGCGUCGGGAUCUUCGAAAUUAGAUCUCAUGUUGAUAGAUCUUGACAAACUGGUGUGAAUUACCUACCUAGCUAGCUAGCCUGGGUUUCAAGUGGAUAACUGACGCCCGUCGCCCGUGUCAGGACCCCGACUCGAUGUCACAUCGAUCUAGCUGGUAACACCUCAUAUCACUUUGCGGCCUCACGCACGGUAUCCCCACGGGUGUCGUCUUACCUCUUCCCGGGACCGUUUGCGCCUUUUGGCUCACGUAUAUGAUAGUGUCGCUAGCAUCCAUAUGAUAAAGAGCCCGGGCUGACAUGACUAGUCGUAAACCCAAAGUGGCACAGACUUACAGGGACAGGCAUCCAUGACCCAGCUUCGAACGUGUCGGUCAUCAGCAAGUGGGUCCGGGCUGUAGCACUAGGCUAGCAGGACUCCGGUAAACCGGGCUGUAGCGGGCUAACAGGACUCCGGUACUCAAAGCGUGACAUUUCCCCGAAGGGACAGACACAGGAACGAAGAAGGACACAUGCCGGCCAGCCUAAGUAUUCCAGAGCAGUAGCAAGCUACCAUGGCUCAGCGGUAACACUAGGAGACAUUUCCCGGUAAGAGAGGCUACUAAAGAUAAACAACUAGAUAGUCAGAUCCCACACAUACCAAGCAUUUCAAUCAUACACACAAUAUGCUCGAUAUGUGCAAUUACAACGAAGCAUCACAACAUGACUCUACGACACAAGUACUUUAUUUAAGGCUCAGGGAGCCAUACACAACAUACACACAAAGGUACGGGUCUCACGACCCAACAUACAAGUCAUACAAUCAUACAAGCCAACAGCGGAAGUAAUUUGUCUGAGUACAGACAACUAGUAAAAUAAAAGAGGCUUGGAAAGCCUGGCUAUACUAUGUGGUCCUUCACAAGCUCAGGGUCACCACCUGGGUCUUUAGCCUACUCGUUGAUGUCAACGUCUACAUAGAACCCAUCAGAAGGGGUUGCAGCGUCUUCUGUAAAAAUGUAGAUUAUAGCAACAUGAGUACAAGGGUACUCAGCAAGACUUACAUCAGAUCCUACAUACAUGCAUAGUAUCAAGAAGGGUUGGUGGAGUUAUUGCAGCAAGCCAGCUUUGACUCUUGGCUAGACUAUCCUACGAUACUCCAAUUUGAAAUAGUUUUGCGCACACGAGUCCACUACUCACCACUUCAAUACACUACCGAGGAUCCACCCCCGUCUUCCUACGGAAGAGCCAUCCUCGGCACUCACACUUAUCUUGAGGCUUUUAGUAGUUUCCAUUUACUUGUCUAUGAACUGUAUAGGCAACCAAGUAGUCCUUUACCGCGGACGCGGCUAUUCGAAUAGAUCAUGUUAACCCUGCAGGGGGUACUUCUUCAUACACGCUCUCACCACUUACCGUCGUUUACACGACAUGUACUCGGCAACCUUCAAGCGGAAGCCCAACGUGGGUGUCGGCCACGACCUACCUAAUCACCUAAGCUUCCAGUCCAGGUUUAUCGCCUAUUCAGGUUCCAUCCGCAGGGAGUCCGGCCGAGGUUUCCCAUACGGCCCCGAACGAUGUGAACAGGGUUCCCGAGAUACCUAACGGGUAUUCGGUACACCCGGCCACGUACCUACCGCAUCACAGCCCACCCCUACGGUCAGCGCUGUCCACGGCCUCCAGUAGGCUACAAACACCAGAAACUACUUGCAACUCCUGGACGGAGAACUAGGGUGAAUAAGAAGUCGAGAGGGUCCAUUGGUUUCGGGCCCAAUGCACGGUAGUAGCUGAUUCUUAAAUCACACAUACAGAUCUCAGUGCUUAAGGUCGGCUUCAAUGAAACAACCCACCAUGUACUCCUACAUGGCCUCUCAUCGAUACCUUUACCAAAUCGUGUUCGCCACACCACUCUCAUUACCGACAUAAUCAUUUCACUCUAGCCCAUCACCCAGAUGAACCAGACCUGACACGACUCUAAGCAUAGCAGGCAUAGCAAGGUAGGAACAACACAUACAUAUGGCUCAAACAACUCCUACACAUGCUAGUGGGUUUCAUCUAAUUACUGUGGAAAUGACAGGUCAUGCAGAGGAAAAGGGUUCAACUACCGCAGCACACAGCAGUUUGAAUCGCGUUGUCUUAAUGCAGUAAAAGAGAGCAGGAGCGAGAACAUGGGAUUGUAUCGAUAUGAUCAAAUGGUUGGUUGCUUGCCUGAUGGUUCGUUGCACGGAUAUGAUUCUUCGUUAGGGUAGUCACGGUACUCCUCGGGGACAGAUCCUGUCGCAAAGGAUAACGAUACACAGGCAUCACCAAACAAUGUGCAACAAUAUGAUGCAUGCAUGAAACAUGGCAAUAUGAGUGUGUUGGGCUAAUGCAACUAAAGCCAGGAGGGUUUGAACAAAUUUGAAUCAAAGAUUCAAAUUUCAAAUUCAAAUAUGGCCUUUUAAAGUGCCUUUUCUUAUUCUGAUUAAAACAUCAAUUUAACUUGUUUGAUCAUGCAUGAAAAUAGUACAGAUGGAUAGAUUGGAUUUUUCUGAUCAUUUUUCAUAUAUAAUUUGUCCAAUUUGGAGUUACAGAAUAAAAGUUAUGAAUUUUUGAAGUUUAAUUAAUAUUCUGGAAUUUUCCUGAUUUAAUUUAAUCCAGAAAUAUCAUUUACUGCGUCAGCCUGACGUCACAGUGACAUCAGCAGGUCAACAGGGCUGGCUCGGGUCAAACCUAACGUGUGGGGUCCACACGUCAGUGUCACAGGGGCUAAUCCCGCGUUGACCCCGGGCUGGUUAGCUCUGACUAAGCCCUGGGGCCCACUUGUCAGCGUCAGUAGGUGGUGGAUUAGUGGUUAAUCAACUAGGCCACGUCAGCUCGCCGGAGUUCUGGCCGGCGGCGACCAACAGUGCGGCGGCGAUAGUGGUUUUGGUCGUUUCGGCCACCAAAUGGAACGCGGCGACCACCGGAGUGAAGCUGAGGACGACCCGCGGCUCUUGGCGGAGUCCGUUGGGAUCGGGGUGGCCGGAGUUGACGGCGGUGAGCUCGGCUGCGGCCGCCGGGGUUCGGUCGUGCACGGGAGUGGUGCUGGAGCUCGAAGUCGAGCAAAGUGAGGCGCUAGGGAUGCUCUACUGGGUUCUGUGAACGCGUUGGACUCGCCGGGGUGACCAAAUGGUCACCGGAGCUGCGUCGACGGCGAGCUCGGCGACGACGGAGGUUCGGCCGUGGUGGAGAUGAAGCUACGGUGAGGGAAUGAGGGGGAGAAGAGGGGGAAACGGUGGCGUAGCUCACCGCGGUUGCAGUGGGCGUCGAAGCGGGCUCGGGGACGCGCUGGAGACGGCGAAUUCGUCGGCGACGGUGGUCGGAGCCCGAAGAGGGGAACGGCGACGUGGCGGCGAUGCAGGGCUUCCGGGGACUCGUGGAGCGGUGGGGAGGAAGAGGGAGUUGUGGCGGAGCUUCUGAGCUACUCGGGGGAGCGAGGGGUGGCCGGAGACAGUGGCUACGGCGAACGGCGGCGACGGUGUGCUUCGGCCGAGAGCGAGAGAGAGCGAGGGAGAAACGGGGGAGAGUGAGCGAGAGCAGGGGGGAUCGGGACGGCUGCGGACGUCGUCCACGCGGCCAGGAGGGCGUCGGCAAGCAGGAGGUGGCCGCGCGGCCGCGCGCGCGCGAGCACGCAGCAGCUUCGGGGCGUGGGGAGGAAGACGACGGGGAGCUACAGUGUUGGGCUGGGUCGGCUGCUAGCUGGGCCGGCCAGCUGGCUGGGCCGCGCAGGUAAGUCUUUCCCCUUUCUUUUCUGUUUUCUGUUUUAUUUAAUAUAUCUGCAACUUUGUUGAAUUAAAUAAAAUACCUAGACAACUCCAAAAUUCACCAAACUACUCCUGGUCCAUAGUUGGAUUAUUUCCAACAUGAAACAUUUUAGUUUGGAGAUAUUUGAGCAUUUAAAUAUUUUAUAUUAUCUUAAAUGCCCAAAUUCAAAUAGUUAUGAUUUAAUUCAAAAACCCUAGGAUGGCCUAGGAAAAUGUGCACCACUUUUGGCAGAGGUUCUGAACCAAGGCAAAAAUGAUGGGCAUUUUAGAAGGGCAUUUCAGGUUCAUUGAAAAAUUAUUUUAGUAACCCUAGUUGGUUUCAGAGGGGACUGGGGGUUCUGUCAUCCCCAUUUCAAGUUUCUGAUGAAAGAGUAAACAUGAUGCAACACUCUAAUGCAUGACUAGCUAGGGUGUGACAACUCACCCCCACUCAAAAGAAUCUCGUCCCGAGAUUUGGGUUCCUCCGGGAAGAAGGCGGGAUAUUCAAGUCGAAGACGAUCCUCCCUUUCCCAAGUUGCUUCAUCCUCAGAAUGGUGCGACCAUUGAACCUUGAGAAACUUGAUAUUAUGACGUCGCGUGGUACGUUCGGCCUGAUCGAGGAUACAAAUGGGGUACUCUCGGUAUGUAAGAUCAUCUUGGAGAUCAAGCUUUUCGUGGUCCACUCCACGGAUAGGAUCCGAGAAGCAACGCCUGAGUUGAGAAACGUGGAAGACAUCGUGAACUCUGGAGAGGUGCGGAGGUAGUUCCAACUGGUAGGCAACUUCUCCUCGUUUGGCGAGAAUGCGAAAAGGUCCAAUGUAACGAGGAGCCAAUUUGCCUUUGAUACCGAAACGAUGGGUUCCCUUCAGAGGGGUGACCCGAAGAUAAGCCUUCUCGUCAACUUCGAAAGUCAUAGCCCUAUGUUUUCGGUCAUAUUGACUCUUUUGACGAGAUUGGGCUGUUUUCAACUUUUCACGAACGAUACGAACUUGUUCUUCUGCUUCCUGAAUCAUAUCCGGGCCAAAGAAUUGUCUUUCCCCGGUCUCUGACCAGUUAAGGGGUGUUCGACAUCAUCGUCCAUAGAGAACUUCAAAAGGGGCUUUACCCAAGCUAGAUUGAUAGCUGUUGUUGUAAGCGAAUUCGGCAAAUGGAAGGCACUUCUCCCAGUCCAUUCCGAAAGAGAUAACGGAGGCUCGAAGCAUGUCUUCUAGAAUCUGAUUGACGCGUUCCACUUGACCACUUGACUGAGGGUGGAAAGCGGUGCUAAAGGAGAGACGGGUUCCCAUAGCAUUUUGGAAACUUUCCCAAAAUCGAGAGGUGAAAAGACUUCCUCGAUCCGAAUUGAUUUCCAAAGGAACACCAUGGAGAGACACUAUUCGGGAGAUGUACAGAUCUGCCAGCUGACUAGCGGUUAUACUCUCACGAACGGGUAAGAAAUGAGCUACCUUGGAAAGACGAUCGAUAACGACGAAAAUAGCAUUAUUCCCUCUUUUGGUCCUGGGAAAACCGGUAAUGAAAUCCAUACCAAUUUUAUCCCAUUUCCAUUCAGGAAUAGCUAAGGGUUGAAGGGUGCCAGCAGGCCGUUGAUGCUCUGCUUUUACACGACGACAGACGUCGCAAUUAGCAAUAUACUGAGCGAUUUCUCUCUUCAUCCUAGUCCACCAGAACCUCUGGCGUAGGUCCUGAUACAUCUUAGUACUACCGGGAUGAAUGGUGAGAGGAGAUUCAUGAGCUUCCUUAAGGAUCAAUCGCCUCAGGUUGCGUACCUUGGGAACCACUAGUCGAUCCCCGAAGUAUACGACUCCUUGAUCAUUAAUGGAGAAACAAUUCGCAAUUCCUUUUUGAAUGUUUCUCCUGAUGCGGGAGAUUCCCGGAUCUACCUUCUGUGCUUUGAUAAUUUGAUCCGUAAGGGUAGGUUUUGCCACCAAGGUGGAGAGAAAACCUUGAGGUACAAUGUGAAGGUUAAGCUUCCGAAAUUCCUCAUGGAGAAGCGGUUGACUUUGUUGUAACAUCAGAUUGUUACAAUAAGAUUUACGACUUAGCGCAUCAGCCAUGACGUUGGCUUUCCCUGGGGUGUAGGUUAUUCCUAAGUCGAAGUCUGUGAUCAAUUCAACCCAACGUCUCUGCCUGAGAUUCAAAUCCGGUUGGGUGAAGAUGUACUUCAGGCUUUGGUGAUCAGUGAAUAUUUCGCAACGAUUACCGAGGAGGUAAUGUCGCCAGGUCUUAAGUGCAUAGACUACGGCUGCAAGUUCUAGAUCAUGAGUAGGAUAAUUCUCCUCAUGUGGGUGCAAUUGCCGUGAAGCGUAAGCAAUUACGUGUCGAUCUUGCAUGAGAAUGCAACCUAGUCCUUGUCGCGAGGCGUCGCGGUAGAUAACAAAGUCCUUGGAGAAGUCUGGCGGUACCAGUACGGGAGCAGAAGUCAGGCGUCUUUUCAGUUCCUGAAAACUGUGCUCACAUUGUGGAGUCCAUUCGAACUUCUUAUCUUUCUUGAGGAGUUCGGUUAGAGGUUUAGCAACUUUGGAGAAGUUCUCGACAAAGCGACGACAAUAGCUCGCUAAGCCUAGAAAACUCCGAACUUGCUUGACCGAUUCGGGUGGAGUCCAAUCAAGGACGGCUUGAACUCGCUCAGGGUUAACCGCAAUACCUUUACCAGAUAUUACAUGGCCCAGAUAGGUCACUUCUGGCAACCAGAAUUCACAUUUUGAAAAUUUGGCAUAAAGGCGAUGCUCACGAAGUUUCUGCAACACUAGUCUUAGAUGUUCGGCAUGUUCUUCCUCGUUCUUGGAGUAGAUGAGUAUAUCAUCGAGAUAAACUACGACGAAUUUAUCCAAAUACUCCAUGAAGAUUGAGUUCAUUAACCGAGAAAAGGUGGCUGGAGCGUUGGUUAAACCGAAGGACAUGACGGUGUACUCGUAUUGGCCAUAACGAGUAACAAAGGCCGUUUUAGGAAUGUCCUCGUUUCUGAUUUUGAUUUGAUGGUAUCCCAACCUCAAAUCCAUCUUGGAAAAGACUGAAGAUCCAGCGAGCUGAUCAUACAGGUCGUUGAUCCUGGGAAGUGGAUAUUUGUUCUUGAUCGUGACCAGAUUGACAGGUCGGUAAUCUACAACCAUCCGGUCCGUACCAUCCUUCUUCUUGACGAAUAGGACGGGGCAAGCCCACGGAGAUGAACUAGGGCGGAUGAAACCCUUUUUCAAGGACUCAUCGAGUUGUUUCUUAAGCUCGGCUAGCUCUAGGGGUGCCAUCUUGUAGGGUCUUCUAGCAAUCGGAAUGGUUCCGGGGAUGAGGUCGAUUACAAACUCAACAUCCCUGUCAGGUGGAACACCUGGCAAUUCCUCUGGAAAGACAUCCGGGAAGUCACGGACUACCGGAACGUCCUCAAGGUCUGGCAACGGGCUGGCUUUAAGAGAAUAUAAUUGUCGCUUGGCUAUUCGGGUCAAGACAUUGACUAUCUUGCCCGAAGGGUGGGUGAGUUGAACAGUCCUAGAGAAGCAAUCAAUUUUGGCAUGAUGAGCUGACAUCCAGUCCAUACCCAAAAUGAUAUUAAUAUCUGAAGAUUUAAGGGCUAUCAAAGACGCAAGGAAAACAAGUCUAUCGACUUGGAUCUCAUUUCCAUAACUUACCCUAGAGGUCUGCCGUCUAGACCCAGGGGUAGAGAUUUCCAUAGUGGACGGCAGAUCACAGAAUGCAACGUUAUGCAAACGAGCAUAAUUUUCAGAUAUAAAGGAAUGAGAGGCUCCUGUAUCGAAAAGAACAGAUGCCGGGUGGCAAUUAACAAGAAGCGUACCGAGAACGAUGUUGGGAUCUUCUUGAGCUUCUUCGGCAGAGACACAGUUGACAUGGCCACGUGAAGCGGUGACCGGUUUAGCAUGAAACACUUUUCCUGUCGGCUUGCCACGGCCAACAGCUUUAGCAGAUUGAUUGGGGUUGGUCUGGGGACACUCACGCAUAUAGUGACCAGAUUCCCCACACUUGAAACAAGUCACGGAACUGGUACGUGGAGGAGCAUUAUUGGUUGGACCCCCAUAGGGCUUAGCUGGAGCAGACUGUUGAGCGGGGCGAGGCGCCUGGAAAGAUGGCCUCGGUGUGAACCUGGGUGGCAGGGCGGUGUUGGGUACCCACACGCGGCGCUUCUGAGGACCAGCACCGGAUGAGGAACCCAUGUCACGGCCAUGCUUGCGUGUUGCGUCAUAAUCAGUCUGACCAGUUUCAGCACUGAUGGCUUUGUUGACAAGUUUCGAGAAGGAUGUGCACUCAUGCAGACGGAGGUCGCGGCGAAGCUCAGGACUAAGGCCCUUGCGGAACCUUGCUUGCUUCUUGGCGUCAGUAGAAACUUCCUCGGUUGCAUAUCGGGCGAGAUUACCAAACUCUCUGCUAUAGACAUCCACAGAAAGUCGGCCUUGGGUGAAAUUGCAAAAUUCUUCACGCUUGCGGUCCAUGAGACCCUCCGGAAUGUGAUGUUCACGGAAAGCGUCGCUGAAUUCAGCCCAAGUUGUGACAUGGCCUGCUGGGCGCAUAGCUCCAUAAUUCUCCCACCAUAGACUGGCGGGGCCUUCAAGGUGAUAUGCAGCAAAGGUGACCUUGUCAGCCUCCGCUACCAGCGCGGAACGCAGUUUGUGAGAGAUACUGCGAAGCCAGUCAUCAGCGUCGAGAGGCUCGACGGAGUGGUGGAACGUGGGUGGAUGCAAUUUGAUAAAAUCGCUGAGUGACACCACGUUAGCCCUCUGAUGGUGUGCUGUAUUCUGUUCAAUACGCUCCAACAAACGGUUUGUCUCCCGCUUGUUUCUCUCAGCUUCCAUCAUCACCUCGGCUAGUGAAGGAGGAUGAGGCAGAUUUUCAUUCCUGGCUUCACUGCCUUCGGCCUGCUCUUGAGAAGCAGGGUUGGCGCGCGUGUUGACCAUCCUAGGUAAACAAGCCAAUGAUUUAGUCAGAAUGAUAAAAUUCCGACAUAGGAUACAUAAUGCAAGGAAUAACUCGGAAUGCAAGAUGAUCAUCCGUAUGACAUGGUAGAUACAGAAACUGCUUCUUUUAUUCCAUCGUCAUACACACCAUACAAGGUUUAGUACAAGACCAAACAAAGUACUAUUACGGUGAAAAGGGAUUACAUCUCAUCGGAGGCAUUCCAAACUCCUAUACAUUAUUUUUCUACAACUCCGGAAGAGUACAAACUAGGUCAUAUCCCACGAGUCACGCGGGACGACAGACGACACAGCUAGUGCGAACUAGUGAUACUACUACUAACUCAGACCGAUCCGUAGUAGUCCUCGUAGAAGUCACCUCCAUAGCCCGGAAGUUCAAUAUGAUCAUCCGGAAACAGACGGUCUCGCGGAGCUUGUGGACCAUAGGGGCUAGGAUGAGGUCUUGGACCAGCAAACGGUGGCCUGCGGGGCCGCGAGGUGGGGUGAUGCCUCCUACAUCACGCCAAACCAUCACGUCUGGCAGAGCAGAUCUCACAGGAUAGAGAUCGCGCAUAUCUGAAUAUCCAGCUUGCACCGCCGGUGCGAACCGAGUCAAAGUGGCCCAGUGGUCAGCACGGGUAUUGAAGAGCUCUAACCUUAAGGCCCGAUUUUCACGGUCCUUAUCCUCGAGCAUCUCAGCAGUGGUGCGAGUCCGUGAAUCCUCCUGGGUGGAGUCAGCAUAGAUAGCCUGGAGAUACCCUUGUGCUCCCGGAAGUGAUCCUGGCAUAUACCGGAAAUCAGAGUCCCGAAAUAGACCAGAUCUGACUCGCAUAAUGGUCAUCAUAGAGUAGGCGGCAUCCUGCACAGCCAUCUCAAUAGUAACCCCGAGUCCAUAGGAGCAGUGAAGAGGCUCAGUGGAUCCAGGAUAAGAUGGAAAUAUCCUGACAGUGCAGAGAUACUGGCUUUGAUUAAAGUCUCGGAAUUGCUCUUCGACCGUGUACUCAGGAUACCAGCGGUAUCCAGCCUCAGUCAUUACCCUGACCAACUUAGCAGUAUGGCCGGGUACAUCUAGGCAUCGAGUCAGGCGAACCACUUGAUUGAGGUCGCGAGUGGCCAUCUGAAAGCACAAUUAUAAUGCAAAGGCAUUAGAAUUUCUAGCAAAAUUUCGGCAGCAUAACAGCUGUAAAUGCUCAAAAAGGAUAUUGAGACAUUUGACAAAGGAUUUCGUACACACUCAACAUCAUCAUAUCAAGUCUUGAAACCAUUCCUACCACAAAAUGUGGUAGUAGAACUGACUAGGCUUGUAACCAUCAAACUUAUAAGGUACUACUGAUUAGUAACACGUGAUCCUGAUAGAGAGAACAGAUCCUAAUUCCUUAACCCCCGGUGGAAGAAUGGACUGACUCAGAUCAGAAUGUCACAAGGUAUAAGGAGUAAAAAGAGCCUUACGUUCCAACCCACAAACAAUUCCCCUACAUAUAACUAAGAAUUUCUAGACUCAACAUCGACCAGUUUGGCUUGGAGAACCUACAGGCAGUCCGGCUCUGAUGCCAACGCUGUCAGGACCCCGACUCGAUGUCACAUCGAUCUAGCUGGUAACACCUCAUAUCACUUUGCGGCCUCACGCACGGUAUCCCCACGGGUGUCGUCUUACCUCUUUCCGGGACCGUUUGCGCCUUUUGGCUCACGUAUAUGAUAGUGUCGCUAGCAUCCAUAUGAUAAAGAGCCCGGGCUGACAUGACUAGUCGUAAACCCAAAGUGGCACAGACUUACAGGGACAGGCAUCCAUGACCCAGCUUCGAACGUGUCGGUCAUCAGCAAGUGGGUCCGGGCUGUAGCACUAGGCUAGCAGGACUCCGGUAAACCGGGCUGUAGCGGGCUAACAGGACUCCGGUACUCAAAGCGUGACAUUUCCCCGAAGGGACAGACACAGGAACGAAGAAGGACACAUGCCGGCCAGCCUAAGUAUUCCAGAGCAGUAGCAAGCUACCAUGGCUCAGCGGUAACACUAGGAGACAUUUCCCGGUAAGAGAGGCUACUAAAGAUAAACAACUAGAUAGUCAGAUCCCACACAUACCAAGCAUUUCAAUCAUACACACAAUAUGCUCGAUAUGUGCAAAUACAACGAAGCAUCACAACAUGACUCUACGACACAAGUACUUUAUUUAAGGCUCAGGGAGCCAUACAUAUCAUUCACAAAGGUACGAGUCUCACGACCCAACAUACAAGUCAUACAGUCAUACAAACCAGCAGCGGAAGUACAUUGUCUGAGUACAGACAACUAGUAAAAUAAAAGAGGCUUGGAAAGCCUAGCUAUACUACGUGGUCCAUCACAAUCUCAGGGUCACCACCUGGGUCCUUAGCCUACUCGUUGAUGUCAACGUCUACAUAGAACCCAUCAGAAGGGGUUGCAGCGUCUUCUGUAAAAAUGUAGAUUAUAGCAACAUGAGUACAAAGGUACUCAGCAAGACUUACAUCAGGUCCUACAUACAUGCAUAUUAUCAAGAAGGGUUGGUGGAGUUAUUGCAGCAAGCCAGCUUUGACUCUUGGCUAGACUAUCCUACGAUACUCCAACUUGAAAUGGUUUUGCGCACACGAGUCCACUACUCACCACUUCAAUACACUACCGAGGAUCCACCUCCGUCUUCCUACGGAAGAGCCAUCCUCGGCACUCACACUUAUCUUGAGGCUUUUAGUAGUUUCCAUUUACUUGUCUAUGAACUGUAUAGGCAACCAAGUAGUCCUUUACCGCGGACGCGGCUAUUCGAAUAGAUCAUGUUAACCCUGCAGGGGUGUACUUCUUCAUACACGCUCUCACCACUUACCGUCGCUUACACGACAUGUACUCGGCAACCUUCAAGCGGAAGCCCAACGUGGGUGUCGGCCACGACCUACCUAAUCACCUAAGCCUCCAGUCCAGGUUUAUCGCCUAUUCGGGUUCCAUCCACAGGGAGUCCGGCCGAGGUUUCCCAUACGGCCCCGAACGAUGUGAACAGGGUUCCCGAGAUACCUAACAGGUAUUCGGUACACCGUGCCACGUACCUACCGCAUCACAGCCCACCCCUACGGUCAGCGCUGUCCACGGCCUCCAGUAGGCUACAAACACCAGAAACUACUUGCAACUCCUGGACGGAGAACUAGGGUGAAUAAGAAGCCGAGAGGGUCCAUUGGUUUCGGGCCCAAUGCAUGGUAGUAGCUGAUUCUUAAAUCACACAUACAGAUCUCAGUGCUUAAGGUCGGCUUCAAUGAAACAACCCACCAUGUACUCCUACAUGGCCUCUCAUCGAUACCUUUACCAAAUCGUGUUCACCACACCACUCUCAUUACCGACAUAAUCAUUUCACUCUAGCCCAUCACCCAGAUGGACCAGACCUGACACGACUCUAAGCAUAGCAGGCAUAGCAAGGUAGGAACAACACAUACAUAGGCCGUUUUAGGAAUGUCCCCGUUUUUGAUUUUUAUUUGAUGGUAGCCCAACCUCAAAUCCAUCUUGGAGAAGACUGAGGAUCCAGCGAGCUGAUCGUACAGGUCGUUGAUCCUGGGAAGUGGAUAUUUGUUCUUGAUUGUGACCAAAUUGACAGGUCGGUAAUCUACAACCAUCCGGUCCGUACCAUCCUUCUUCUUGACGAAUAGGACGGGGCAAGCCCACGGAGAUGAGCUAGGUCGGAUGAAACCCUUUUUCAAGGAUUCAUCGAGUUGUUUCUUAAGCUCGGCUAGUUCUAGGGGUGCCAUCUUAUAAGGUCUUCUAGCAAUCGGAACGGUUCCGGGGAUGAGGUCGAUUACGAACUCAACAUCCCUGUCAGGUGGAACACCUGGCAAUUCCUCUGGGAAGACAUCCGGGAAGUCACAGACUACCGGCACGUCCUCAAGAUCUGGCAAGGGGCUGGCGUUAAGAGAAUAUAAUUGCCGCUUGGCUAUUCGGGUCAAGACAUUGACUAUCUUCCCCGAAGGAUGGGUGAGUUGAACAGUCCUAGAGAAGCAAUCAAUUUUGGCUUGAUGAGCUGACAUCCAGUCCAUACCCAAAAUGAUAUUAAUAUCUGAAGAUUUAAGGGCUAUCAAAGAUGCGAGAAAAACAAGUCUGUCGACUUGGAUUUCAUUUCCAUGGCUUACUCUAGAAGUUUGCCAUUUGGAUCCCGGAGUUUGAAUUACCAUAGAGGAUGGCAAGUCACAGAAUGCAACGUUAUGCAAACGAGCAUAAUUUUCAGAUAUAAAAGAAUGAGAGGCUCCUGUAUCAAAAAGAACAGAUGCCGGGUGGCAAUUAACAAGAAGCGUACCGAGAACGACGUUGGGAUCUUCUUGAGCUUCUUCGGCAGAGAUACAGUUGACAUGGCCACGUGAAGCGGUGACCGGUUUAGCAUGAAACACUUUUCCUGUCGGCUUGCCACGGCCAACAGCUUUAGCAGAUUGAUUGGGGUUGGUCUGGGGACACUCACGCAUAUAGUGACCAGAUUCCCCACACUUGAAACAAGUCACGGAACUGGUACGUGGAGGAACAUUAUUGGUUGGACCCCCAUAGGGCUUGGCUGGAGCAGACUGUUGAGCGGGGCGAGGCGCCUGGAAAGAUGGCCUCGGUGUGAACCUGGGUGGCAGGGCGGUGUUGGGUACCCACACGCGGCGCUUCUGAGGACCAGCACCGGAUGAGGAACCCAUGUCACGGCCAUGCUUGCGUGUUGCGUCAUAAUCAGUCUGACCAGUUUCAGCACUGAUGGCUUUGUUGACAAGUUUCGAGAAGGAUGUGCACUCAUGCAGACGGAGGUCGCGGCGAAGCUCAGGACUAAGGCCCUUGCGGAACCUUGCUUGCUUCUUGGCGUCAGUAGAAACUUCCUCGGUUGCAUAUCGGGCGAGAUUACCAAACUCUCUGCUAUAGACAUCCACAGAAAGUCGGCCUUGGGUGAAAUUGCAAAAUUCUUCACGCUUGCGGUCCAUGAGACCCUCCGGAAUGUGAUGUUCACGGAAAGCGUCGCUGAAUUCAGCCCAAGUUGUGACAUGGCCUGCUGGGCGCAUAGCUCCAUAAUUCUCCCACCAUAGACUGGCGGGGCCUUCAAGGUGAUAUGCAGCAAAGGUGACCUUGUCAGCCUCCGCUACCAGCGCGGAACGCAGUUUGUGAGAGAUACUGCGAAGCCAGUCAUCAGCGUCGAGAGGCUCGACGGAGUGGUGGAACGUGGGUGGAUGCAAUUUGAUAAAAUCGCUGAGUGACACCACGUUAGCCCUCUGAUGGUGUGCUGUAUUCUGUUCAAUACGCUCCAACAAACGGUUUGUCUCCCGCUUGUUUCUCUCAGCUUCCAUCAUAACCUCGGCUAGUGAAGGAGGUUGAGGCAGAUGUUCAUUUCUGGCUUCACUGCCUUCGGCCUGCUCUUGGGAAGCAGGGUUAGCGCGCGUGUUGACCAUCCUAGGUAAACAAGACAAUGAUUUAGUCAGAAUGAUAAAAUUCCGACAUAGGAUGUAGAAUGUAAGGAAUAACUCGAAAUGCAAGAUGAUCAUCUGUAUGACAUGGUAGAUACAGAAACUGCUUCUUUAUUCCAUCGUCAUACACACCAUACAGGUUUAGUACAAGACCAAGCAAAGUACUAAAACGGUGAAAAGAGGAUUACAUCUCAUCGGAGGCAUCUCAAGCUCCUAUACAUUAUUUUUCUACAUCUCCGGAAAGAGUACAAACUAGGUCAUAUCCCACGAGUCACGCGGGACGAUAGACGACACAGCUAGUGCGAACUAGUGAUACUACUACUAACUCAGACCGAUCCGUAGUAGUCUUCGUAGAAGUCACCUCCAUAGCCUGGAAGUUCAACAUGAUCAUCCGGAAACAGACGGUCUCGCGGAGCUUGUGGACCAUAGGGGCUAGGAUGAGGUCUUGGACCAACAGACGGUGGCCUGCGGGGACCGCGAGGUGGGGUGAUGCCUCCUACAUCACGCCAAACCAUCACGUCUGGCAGAGCAGAUCUCACUGGGUAGAGAUCGCGCAUAUCUGAAAAUCCAGCUUGCACCGCCGGUGCGAACCGAGUCAAGGUGGCCCAGUGGUCAGCACGGGUAUUGAAGAGCUCUAACCUUAAGGCCCGAUUUUCACGGUCCUUAUCCUCGAGCAUCUCAGCCGUGGUGCGAGUUCGUGAAUCCUCCUGGGUGGAGUCAGCAUAGAUAGCCUGGAGAUACCCUUGUGCUCCCGGAAGUGAUCCUGGCAUAUACCGGAAAUCAGAGUCCCGAAAUAGACCAGAUCUGACUCGCAUAAUGGUCAUCAUAGAGUAGGCGGCAUCCUGCACAGCCAUCUCAAUAGUAACCCCGAGUCCAUAGGAGCAGUGAAGAGGCUCAGUGGAUCCAGGAUAAGAUGGAAAUAUCCUGACAGUGCAGAGAUACUGGCUUUGAUUAAAGUCUCGGAAUUGCUCUUCGACCGUGUACUCAGGAUACCAGCGGUAUCCAGCCUCAGUCAUUACCCUGACCAACUUAGCAGUAUGGCCGGGUACAUCUAGGCAUCGAGUCAGGCGAACCACUUGAUUGAGGUCGCGAGUGGCCAUCUGAAAGCACAAUUAUAAUGCAAAGGCAUUAGAAUUUCUAGCAAAAUUUCGGCAGCAUAACAGCUGUGAAUGCUCAAAAAGGAUAUUGAGACAUUUGACAAGGAUUUCGUACACACUCAACAUCAUCAUAUCAAGUCUUGAAACCAUUCCUACCACAAAAUGUGGUAGUAGAACUGAACUAGGCUUGUAACCAUCAAACUUAUAAGGUACUACUGAUUAGUAACACGUGAUCCUGAUAGAGAGAACAGAUCCUAAUUCCUUAACCCCCGGUGGAAGAAUGGACUGACUCAGAUCAGAAUGUCACAAGGUAUAAGGAGUAAAAAGAGCCUUACGUUCCAACCCACAAACAAUUCCCCUACAUAUAACUAAGAAUUUCUAGACUCAACAUCGACCAGUUUGGCUUGGAGAACCUACAGGCAGUCCGGCUCUGAUGCCAACGCUGUCAGGACCCCGACUCGAUGUCACAUCGAUCUAGCUGGUAACACCUCAUAUCACUUUGCGGCCUCACGCACGGUAUCCCCACGGGUGUCGUCUUACCUUUUCCCGGGACCGUUUGCGCCUUUUGGCUCGCGUAUAUGAUAGUGUCGCUAGCAUCCAUAUGAUAAAGAGCCCGGGCUGACAUGACUAGUCGUAAACCCAAAGUGGCACAGACUUACAGGGAUAGGCAUCCAUGACCCAGCUUCGAACGUGUCGGUCAUCAGCAAGUGGGUCCGGGCUGUAGCACUGGGCUAGCAGGACUCCGGUAAACCGGGCUGUAGCGGGCUAACAGGACUCCGGUACUCAAAGCGUGACAUUUCCCCGAAGGGACAGACACAGGAACGAAGAAGGACACAUGCCGGCCAGCCUAAGUGUUCCAGAGCAGUAGCAAGCUACCAUGGCUCAGCGGUAACACUAGGAGACAUUUCCCGGUAAGAGAGGCUACUAAAGAUAAACAACUAGAUAGUCAGAUCCCACACAUACCAAGCAUUUCAAUCAUACACACAAUAUGCUCGAUAUGUGCAAUUACAACGAAGCAUCACAACAUGACUCUACGACACAAGUACUUUAUUUAAGGCUCAGGGAGCCAUACACAACAUACACACAAAGGUACGGGUCUCACGACCCAACAUACAAGUCAUACAAUCAUACAAGCCAACAGCGGAAGUAAUUUGUCUGAGUACAGACAACUAGUAAAAUAAAAGAGGCUUGGAAAGCCUGGCUAUACUAUGUGGUCCUUCACAAGCUCAGGGUCACCACCUGGGUCUUUAGCCUACUCGUUGAUGUCAACGUCUACAUAGAACCCAUCAGAAGGGGUUGCAGCGUCUUCUGUAAAAAUGUAGAUUAUAGCAACAUGAGUACAAGGGUACUCAGCAAGACUUACAUCAGAUCCUACAUACAUGCAUAGUAUCAAGAAGGGUUGGUGGAGUUAUUGCAGCAAGCCAGCUUUGACUCUUGGCUAGACUAUCCUACGAUACUCCAAUUUGAAAUAGUUUUGCGCACACGAGUCCACUACUCACCACUUCAAUACACUACCGAGGAUCCACCCCCGUCUUCCUACGGAAGAGCCAUCCUCGGCACUCACACUUAUCUUGAGGCUUUUAGUAGUUUCCAUUUACUUGUCUAUGAACUGUAUAGGCAACCAAGUAGUCCUUUACCGCGGACGCGGCUAUUCGAAUAGAUCAUGUUAACCCUGCAGGGGGUACUUCUUCAUACACGCUCUCACCACUUACCGUCGUUUACACGACAUGUACUCGGCAACCUUCAAGCGGAAGCCCAACGUGGGUGUCGGCCACGACCUACCUAAUCACCUAAGCUUCCAGUCCAGGUUUAUCGCCUAUUCAGGUUCCAUCCGCAGGGAGUCCGGCCGAGGUUUCCCAUACGGCCCCGAACGAUGUGAACAGGGUUCCCGAGAUACCUAACGGGUAUUCGGUACACCCGGCCACGUACCUACCGCAUCACAGCCCACCCCUACGGUCAGCGCUGUCCACGGCCUCCAGUAGGCUACAAACACCAGAAACUACUUGCAACUCCUGGACGGAGAACUAGGGUGAAUAAGAAGUCGAGAGGGUCCAUUGGUUUCGGGCCCAAUGCACGGUAGUAGCUGAUUCUUAAAUCACACAUACAGAUCUCAGUGCUUAAGGUCGGCUUCAAUGAAACAACCCACCAUGUACUCCUACAUGGCCUCUCAUCGAUACCUUUACCAAAUCGUGUUCGCCACACCACUCUCAUUACCGACAUAAUCAUUUCACUCUAGCCCAUCACCCAGAUGAACCAGACCUGACACGACUCUAAGCAUAGCAGGCAUAGCAAGGUAGGAACAACACAUACAUAUGGCUCAAACAACUCCUACACAUGCUAGUGGGUUUCAUCUAAUUACUGUGGAAAUGACAGGUCAUGCAGAGGAAAAGGGUUCAACUACCGCAGCACACAGCAGUUUGAAUCGCGUUGUCUUAAUGCAGUAAAAGAGAGCAGGAGCGAGAACAUGGGAUUGUAUCGAUAUGAUCAAAUGGUUGGUUGCUUGCCUGAUGGUUCGUUGCACGGAUAUGAUUCUUCGUUAGGGUAGUCACGGUACUCCUCGGGGACAGAUCCUGUCGCAAAGGAUAACGAUACACAGGCAUCACCAAACAAUGUGCAACAAUAUGAUGCAUGCAUGAAACAUGGCAAUAUGAGUGUGUUGGGCUAAUGCAACUAAAGCCAGGAGGGUUUGAACAAAUUUGAAUCAAAGAUUCAAAUUUCAAAUUCAAAUAUGGCCUUUUAAAGUGCCUUUUCUUAUUCUGAUUAAAACAUCAAUUUAACUUGUUUGAUCAUGCAUGAAAAUAGUACAGAUGGAUAGAUUGGAUUUUUCUGAUCAUUUUUCAUAUAUAAUUUGUCCAAUUUGGAGUUACAGAAUAAAAGUUAUGAAUUUUUGAAGUUUAAUUAAUAUUCUGGAAUUUUCCUGAUUUAAUUUAAUCCAGAAAUAUCAUUUACUGCGUCAGCCUGACGUCACAGUGACAUCAGCAGGUCAACAGGGCUGGCUCGGGUCAAACCUGACGUGUGGGGUCCACACGUCAGUGUCACAGGGGCUAAUCCCGCGUUGACCUCGGGUUGGUUAGCUUUGACUAAGCCCUGGGGCCCACUUGUCAGCGUCAGUAGGUGGUGGAUUAGUGGUUAAUCAAAUAGGCCACGUCAGCUCGCCGGAGUUCUGGCCGGCGGCGACCAACAGUGCGGCGGCGAUAGUGGUUUUGGUCGUUUCGGCCACCAAAUGGAACGCGGCGACCACCGGAGUGAAGCUGAGGACGACCCGCGGCUCUUGGCGGAGUCCGUUGGGAUCGGGGUGGCCGGGGUUGACGGCGGUGAGCUCGGCUGCGGCCGCCGGGGUUCGGUCGUGCACGGGAGUGGUGCUGGAGCUCGAAGUCGAGCAAAGUGAGGCGCUAGGGAUGCUCUACUGGGUUCUGUGAACGCGUUGGACUCGCCGGGGUGACCAAAUGGUCACCGGAGCUGCGUCGACGGCGAGCUCGGCGACGGCGGAGGUUCGGCCGUGGUGGAGAUGAAGCUACGGUGAGGGAACGAGGGGGAGAAGAGGGGGACACGGUGGCGUAGCUCACCGCGGUUGCAGUGGGCGUCGAAGCGGGCUCGGGGACGCGCUGGAGACGGCGAAUUCGUCGGCGACGGUGGUCGGAGCCCGAAGAGGGGAACGGCGACGUGGCGGCGAUGCAGGGCUUCCGGGGACUCGUGGAGCGGUGGGGAGGAAGAGGGAGUUGUGGCGGAGCUUCUGAGCUACUCAGGGGAGCGAGGGGUGGCCGGAGACAGUGGCUACGGCGAACGGCGGCGACGGUGUGCUUCGGCCGAGAGCGAGAGAGAGCGAGGGAGAAACGGGGGAGAGUGAGCGAGAGCAGGGGGGAUCGGGACGGGCUGCGGACGUCGUCCACGCGGCCAGGAGGGCGUCGGCAAGCAGGAGGUGGCCGCGCGGCCGCGCGCGCGCGAGCACGCAGCAGCUUCGGGGCGUGGGGAGGAAGACGACGGGGAGCUACAGUGUUGGGCUGGGUCGGUUGCUGGCUGGGCCGGCCGGCUGGCUGGGCCGCACAGGUAAGUCUUCCCCUUUCUUUUUUCUGUUUUCUGUUUAUUUAAUAUAUCUGCAACUUUGUUGAAUUAAAUAAAAUACCUAGGCAACUCCAAAAUUCACCAAACUACUCCUGGUCCAUAGUUGGAUUAUUUCCAACAUGAAACAAUUUAGUUUGGAGAUAUUUGAGCAUUUAAAUAUUUUAUAUUAUUUUAAAUGCCCAAAUUCAAAUAUCUAUGAUUUAAUUCAAAGACCCUAUGAUGGCCUAGAAAAUUGUGCACCACUUUUGUCAGAGGUUCUGAACCAAGGCUAAAAUGAUGGACAUUUUAGAAGGGCAUUUCAGGUUCAUUGAAAAAUUAUUUUAGUAACCCUAGUUGGUUUCAGAGGGGACUGGGGGUUCUGUCAUCCCCAUUUCAAGUUUCUGAUGAAAAAGUAAACAUGAUGCAACACUCUAAUGCAUGACUAGCUAGGAUGUGACAGCCCGCACGGGUGGCACGGGCGGAACCUGAUCUCCGACGCCGGAACUCCCUUCUCUACAUCUCC